rnacentral:lncRNA from 1 species
AUGCUCUGCGCCUGGGUUUCGUUCGGCGCUGAGUAGCGACCCGGGAUUGAGCUCUUCGUUGACAAUUGGAAGUGCUUUUAUCACUUUGGACCUAAUGGAUAAAGAAAGGAGCCAUAUGCCUCCAGAAGACUGCUCCCUUGGUCGUAAGAGAGAACAUCUGAAGGACCGUCUAACUUCUAGGAAACAGAAUAUCAUUCACUCUCGAUGGAAAUUGACUGUUUUACUUGGCCCUAGCCUGGUAAGC